UGGAGGGGGAUUAAUUUUAAAUGAACAUAAGAAAGAGGAUUUAACAUUGUUUACAUUGUUUGGCAGGUCAAAGAGAAGGAACACGACUUCAGAUAAGAAAGUGACUCAACUAUCGACGCGGGAUGAUGGUCAAUGACGGAAGGUUCUGAAUCGCUUCUGAAUGCACAGUAAAUAUUCCACCCAGAAUCCUAUCUCCAUCCUCAGGAAGAGUGGAUAAACUGCUUUGCUUGAUGAACGUUCGUAACUCCCGCUGGAAAUGUUCAUUUCUGGUUCCAGACAAUUGCUUUUGUCCAGCCCAUUCGGCCGGAGCGAGAAGGCGGUGCUAGUGCGUUGGUGGGUCAUAAGGAGUCCUCAGACUGGCUCAUUUCCCGUCUCUGUCCGGAGACACUUAACACAACAGGCAGGGUCUCACCCUCGAUAUUAAAGCAGGGAUAUGAAAAGCUGCAACAUUGGAUCACCAGAGAAUGAAAUAGUCAUUGAAGGAAUGUGAGCAAAUACAUUCAUAGACCAGCUGAACAUUUGGAAAUGGAAGCCUUUCCAGUCUCAUUGGUUGCUCACGUGGCAUCAUGUUGGCCAUAUUGAUACAAUAGAUGAUGCUCCAUACCAAGAGACCAGAAAAGAAUGUGAACUGUCUUUGAGAUGUCAUCUGUUAGAAACUGUAUGUACUGUGCCUUCCUACAAAAAGUA